rnacentral:lncRNA from 1 species
GCAUGCCCUGGCUGGAGGGCGAGAUCGGUGCGCGGUCCGGGGGAGCUUUAUGUAACACGUUGUGCUUUUGUCCCGGGCCAAGAACCAGCCGCCCUUGGUUUUCUCCCCGUAAAUUUUUCAGUCUCCCUUGUUUUGAAAGAAUACCAGUGGCCUGAACCCCCUUUCCCAGGUCUCCCGCCUCCCUCUACUUUUUUUUUUUUAAUGCCCGUCCUCCGGCCCCGAGGCAUUAGGUGGCUCCGGGCUGUCUAUGGGGGAGGGGAAGACGGAGAAGGGGAGGGCGGAUGGAGCAGCUUCUCUUCCCUUGUUUACAUGCUUAUGCCCAGCUGUCUCCUCUGGUCUGAAAUGAGCUCCUUUUCCAGACCUGCUUCAUGGAAUCUCUAGUUCCCUCCAUAGUAGUUUGGAGCUCAACUCCAGGACCACCUCCAAAAUGAGGCCUUUUCUCAUAGUACCUCCUUAAUUACCUUAUAUUUAUUAUGUAUAUAUUGUGGAGCUCUUAGAGUUUGGAUGAACAGACAUGAAGAAGCCAAAGUCAUCUUCUGCAUCCUGGGUCAUCCUAAAAUAUCAGAAAACAGCUGUCAAAAAUUGUUUUCACAUAUACUUUUUUUAAAAAAAAAGAAAGAAAGGUAGGAAGGAAACAAAAAAGAAAGAAACAGAGCUCUGAAUAAAGGGAACCAGUGAAGGUCCUGAUGAAGAAAU